rnacentral:rRNA from 1 species
UACGAAGGGGGCUAGCGUUGCUCGGAAUCACUGGGCGUAAAGCGCACGUAGGCGGAUUCUUAAGUCAGGGGUGAAAUCCUGGAGCUCAACUCCAGAACUGCCUUUGAUACUGAGGGUCUUGAGUUCGGGAGAGGUGAGUGGAACUGCGAGUGUAGAGGUGAAAUGCGUAGAGAUCCGGAGGAACCCCAGAGGCGAAGGCGGCGCUCUGGCUCGCAACUGACGCUCAGACACGACAGCAUGGGGAGCGAACGGG